rnacentral:tmRNA from 1 species
AAAUAUUUCGCAAAUGAGUUUGUCGGAUACUUGUGUGUAAGAGAUCCGGAACUGAGAAAACGAUAAGCACACUACGCCCGUAGAAGUCUUGUUUUGGUACCGAAGGACCCGGGUUCGAUUCCCGGCACCUCCACUA